rnacentral:lncRNA from 1 species
GAGAGACUGACCUCUUUUGAAAGAACUGCAGCCCUGGAAAUCUGACUGGAGAGGAUGGGGUCUUGCUAUGUCACCCAGGAUGGUCUCAAAUUCCUCGGUUCAAGUGAUCUUCCUGCCCAAGUCUCCGAGUAGCUGGAAUGACAGUCAUAUAAAGAUACAAGAAGAAGAUGGCUGUCUGCAAAUCAGGAAGACUGACCUCACCAGACAUUGGAUCUGCUGGUUGUACCUGGAUCUUGAACUUCCCAACCUUCAUAUAAUUUGUACAUCUCUAGAACAAUACUUAACAGAACUCAGACUUUCAGCCUCCAUUCACAGCCUCUAAAAUCUCUGCUGGAAAUUUUUUUGAUGAUACCAUAAUGACAAAGAAGCCCACCUUCAGGAGAGCUUCCUUCUUGGAGACAUAAAGUUGCAGCUUCUCUCCACAUCCACCUACUUUGAAAGGAAAGACAGAACCUCCAGUCUGGGUGGAGGCUCAGACUUGU